rnacentral:rRNA from 1 species
AGCAGCCGCGGUAAUUCCAGCUCCAAUAGCGUAUAUUAAAGUUGUUGCAGUUAAAAGCUGUAGUUGAAUUUUCGGGGGAUUACGUAGUCAGGGUUUCGGGGUUCCGGUUGGCCCCAUUAUGGGGUUAAUGAACCGUUGGAUUUUACCUUGGGUGAUUUUACCCUUGAUUCCCCCUUCUUCCGUUAAGCAAUCGACUGGAAUAAUCCGACCAUUUCAAAUUUUGGGUUCGUUGCAAUAAGGGAAUUUUCGGAUGGGACUUGGGCUUACGGGGUUUUAAGUCAAAAAAAUUGGAACU